rnacentral:pre_miRNA from 1 species
UCCAACGUUUCGUCCAGCUAACAUGUCUGGACUUCUUCAGGGUUUGAUUUCUUUUAUCACCCUGAAGAAGUCCAGACAAGUUAGCUGGACAAAACGUUGGAAUUA